UCAAUGUCAUAGGAAAGAUUGAAUGGUCUUGCUACUUUAUGCAUUAGGAAAGCAAAGUUGGAUGAAAUAAAUAUUGAUGCACAGAUCUGAUCAUCAUAUUUAAAAAGCUUUGGAGACAUUUUCUUGGGGUGAAGACAUCGAGUAACGGACAGAUUGAAGAAAAUAUAAUCUAAUGCUGGUACAAGGUUCUCCAGACAUGAUAGGCACAUCCGAACAAUCAGAUAACAUGAUUACAUUACAAGGCCAAGAUGCAUUAGCAUGCUCCACUGGUCCAGCUGAUCCACAACCAUCAAGGAGAGGUCGUGGACGUAGACCAACCAUGGGGCAUGGGCUUCAGGAGUAUGCAAGCAGAAAUGGAGGGAGGAAAAUGCGUAUUGAUUUUACGCAGGGAAAUUGAGACCUACAGACCCAGUCCAAGCUGCAAAGCUUUCUUCUGAGUGUGGCAUCCACAUCAGGAGCCGAACGCAUGUUGCUAUGCACUGGAAUGACUAUGACAAAAGGCCACUCAAACAUGUUAUUCCCCAUGCUAUUAAAGAUAUCGCGCUUAACUUUGAGAUGGAAAAGGAUGACAAGGUUGGGAAUGAUGCAUGCACAAAGUAAUCCUGAAGGGUGUUCGACAACAGCACUACAGGCUAAAGAAGAAAUACUUCAAUGGUUAUACUGCUCAGGAAGCAUUAUCAAAUAAGCCAGCGAACAUCACUCAUGAGAAUUGGACCAUCCAUGUCAAUAAAUGGUAUGAUGAAAGA